rnacentral:rRNA from 1 species
UGCCUUAUAGUGGGGGAUAGCCUUUCGAAAGGAAGAUUAAUACCGCAUAAGAUCGUAGUAUCGCAUGAUAUAGCAAUUAAAGGAGCAAUCCGCUAUAAGAUGGACCCGCGUCGCAUUAGCUAGUUGGUGAGGUGAUGGCUCACCAAGGCGACGAUGCGUAGCCGACCUGAGAGGGUGAUCGGCCACAUUGGGACUGAGACACGGCCCAGACUCCUACGGGAGGCAGCAUG